UGUAAACAUAAAUGGAGUGGCGUCACAUGCUACUUUGCGGGAACCAAGAGUCAUUUUCUUGAAUUUGGAAGGUUGCUUUUCUGGGACAUGCAAGUUACUUUCACACAAACUACAAGAGGAUAAAGCUGAAUGAUGUUACAAUAAACAUUCCAGAGGGAGUCACCCACCCGGUGCAUAAUUAGAGACCCAGGAGGCUGAGUAAGAUAGAUGACUGCAGUGUGUGUCAGUGGAGGUGGAGGGGGUCGUGCCGUUCCAGAGGCUGCUGGUUAAAUGCAGGUGGCUGGGUGUACGCGUCAGCUUUUAUCUUGGUUUUGAACACAGGUAAGCUCAGGGGCCUGCACAGGUGUGUGUGUGUAGGGGCUGAAAGUUCAGAGAUGGUGGCGGCAGUUAGGGUUGAAAAAGGGCCAGAGGCAGCGAUUUGUCAAGAUGAGCAGCGUUUGCUGGGGUCACCAGGAGACACAGUGGUGGCUAUUGUGUUGGUUAUGAAACCACAAAUGAUCUGCAUCAUAUAGACACUGAUGUGGCCGUUCAGAGGGUGAACAGACUUCAAACAGCAAGCAGAUGCUUUGGUUGAGUAAUCACUUUGACUCACUAUGUUUCCCCUUAGGAGAAGACACAAGAACUUCUGAGUCAUUGUGUCUGCCAAGGUGUGAUGGUUUUAAUUAAUGUAAUGAGACAAGUGAUUAUUUUGGCAAAGGAGAAAAUUAUCCCGGCUUCACACAAGGACUUAGGAUUCAUUUCAAAGACAGAGUGGAAAUCUGUCUUUCAUAUAUCUGCCAAAAGGAGAGGAAACUCAAAUGUUUUUUUCUUUGAGUGAAAAAUUACAGCCCCUUUUUUCAUUAUGGUAGUGUUAAAAACAGCAUCUGUCACCAGCUGAAUAUUGAGAUUUUCACAUGAAGUUUAGAGGACAAACAGUUUUGCCACCACCAUUUGCUGCGCCAUUGCAUUUUAAACAGACUCACUUUGCUCAGAUGUGGUAUUUUACCACAAGUUUCUAACUGUAGCUUGCUGAAAUUUU